AUAUUGUUGGUGUUCUUAACUCAAGAGAAAUGUUUUUAAUUAUUUAUUCAUUAAAUUUUGAAAACCCGGCUAAGUGAAUCAUAGAAUAUUAAGCACUACACCAUGACUUAAGAUUAGAAUUUAAGGAGACCUAUUGAGAAUAGAUUUCUUGUAGGCUUUGAGCAUCAUGAGGAUUAGCACUGCUAUUCCGAUUCAGAGAUAACGUUAAACGACAGGCAUUGCCUAUACAGGUUGAGCAGUUGAUGGAAUGGAAUGAUGUUGAGCGGGUGUUCCUUUGACAUUUCAAGAAAUGUAACCUUGAGUAUACAUCUUCAUAUGUAUAUCUCACACGUUUUCCGCUGCAAAGCACUUUGAUUAGGAUAGCUCUAUGUUAUGAAGUUGUUAUACGUGUUAUUGGGUAACCCACCUUAAUCAGUUCUCAUUUAUGUGUAUGUUUUAUAAGUAUCCAAAUAAUCAUAUAUGAUCCUAGCAUUUUAUCUAUUAGUGACAUUUCCAUAUACUUUAAUGUUAAGUAAUUGUCCAUUUUCA